AGAUAACCGGUUCUGUUACUUCCUGAUUGCUUAAAAUAUAUAUAUAUAUUUAUAUUUUAAGCAAUCAGGAAGUAUCUAAAUAUAUAUUUAUAUUUUAAGCAAUCAGGAAGUAACAGAACCGGUUAUCU